GAUGAACGCUGGCGGCGUGCCUAAUACAUGCAAGUCGAGCGAACGGACGAGAAGCUUGCUUCUCUGAUGUUAGCGGCGGACGGGUGAGUAACACGUGGAUAACCUACCUAUAAGACUGGGAUAACUUCGGGAAACCGGCGCUAAUACCGGAUAAUCUUUUGAACCGCAUGGUUCAAUAGUGAAAGACGGUCUUGCUGUCACUUAUAGAUGGAUCCGCGCUGCAUUAGCUAGUUGGUAAGGUAACGGCUUACCAAGGCAACGAUGCAUAGCCGAACUGAGAGGGUGAUAGGCCACACUGGAACUGAGACACGGUCCAGAGUCCUACGGGAGGCAGCAGUAGGGAAUCUUCCGCAAUGGGCGAAAGCCUGACGGAGCAACGCCGCGUGAGUGAUGAAGGUCUUCGGAUCGUAAAACUCUGUUAUUAGGGAAGAACAUAUGUGUAAGUAACUGUGCACAGCGUGACGGUACCUAAUCAGAAAGCCACGGCUAACUACGUG
rnacentral:rRNA from 1 species